AUCAAUGUUUAAGUGUAGGGGUAAGGGUAGGACUAAUUAUUCAAUUUAUUGAACUAUGUAUAUCAAUUAUUAUUAUUAUUCUACUGUAAAAGUCUUAUAAUAAUAAAACUUUUACAGUAGAAUAUUAAGACACGAAGCAAUUUUAGCUAUUUUUUUAGAUUCAGAGCGUAGCGAGGGAUCUAUUGGUUUUAAUGAUUUUACUGUGAUUUUUUUUUUUUCUGUCUGUGAACAACUGUUUUACCUGAAGUAUAGACUAUAAUACCUUUUCUGAAAGGUAAUUUUUUCUAGUUGUUACAUUGAGAAGGCCAUUUUUUGAUUUUUCAAAGGAUUUUCGAAAGAAAAGAAAAGUACCUAUAUGUAAAAUAGCAAAUAUUUACAGGGCACUCCAGCGUUACUGUUUUCAUCAUUUUUAUUAUGUUAACACGAUGUUUUCUACCAGAUAUAUUGCUUCAAUCCAAAAGUGACGAGAUAUCGAUUUUAUUCCUUAUAAUAUUUUGCCAUUGAUUAAGAAAGUCGUUUUUUGAUAUUUAAAGUAUUUUUCAUAAUAAUUAGAAAAACCAAAAAUGACGAAAUGUUCAAUGAUUUUUUUCAAAUUACGGCACAACCAUUUCAUUAUUAUAAAUGUUUACGGCUUUUGUUUACCACCCACCAUAAAUAUUACUGCGAUAUAUAAACGAGAAGAGACCUUUUUCGUUGCAUUUUUAAUCUAAUUUAAUUUUGAUUAAAAUUUGAUUAAUUUAUUAAUUUAAUUUGAACAAAACCGAAAAAAGUACCUAAACUGAAUAAAUAUUAGGUAAAAAUCAUGUAGAAUUAAAAUGUCUAUAAAUAGCUCAUAAAUGGCUCAAAUGAUGUAAAAAUAUUACUACAUUUAGAAAAGGCAAAUAUAAGUAUUCUGACUAAAUUAAAAAUCUCUACAAAUAUAUUUAAAUGAGUUGCAAAAAAAAAAAAAACAAAUUGAAAAUAACAAAAGCAUUAUGUUCGUGAAUUUCCCGUUUUUCUUACAUUUUUUUCGAAAUUAUUAUGAAAACCACUUGAAUCAAAAAAAAUCACCUAUUUCCUUUCAGAAAAAGUACAACAUAUGAUACACCGGAUUAAGAUUUUUGGUAUAAAUGUUGUUCACAGAAUAAAAAAAGACGGACGUGGGUUCGUACAUACAUGGGCCACUGUUGUAGGUGAGAAGUUGGGAUGGUAGAUGAGUGUAAAUUUAAUGUAACGACAAACCAUUGCUAUGGAAAAAAAAUCUGAGCAGAGUUCAGUUGAUAGUGUUGCUUUAUCAAAAAUAUAUACCUAUGCUAUAUUAUGGUAAAAUAAUUAGGUACAUAGGGCAUGAUAUAUUUUCUUUAAUAAUAUUUGCUUAAUAUUGUACUUAAUUUCCCGUUUUUCCCAUUUAUUGGGAAAACUCCUGAGAAAAUCAAAAAAUUACUACCCUAAAGUACUUCCCCGGUUAUAUUUUCUUUAAGAAGAAGUGCUAUUAUUGUAAAUUGGAGCAUGAUUCCUGUUAGAAAGGUUGUCCACGGAAAAAAAAUAAAUAAACAUCUUUGUAAAACCAUAAACUUCUUCGUUCCAGUCAGAAUCUAAAAUAAUAACUGUACAUAUUUAAUUUUAAUUUUGUGUACUAAAUGCUUAUAAUUAUGUAGAUAUAAUAAUAAAAAUCUCCAUACAUGCAAAGUAACUUAGGUACCUACACUUUAUUUUUUGAUAAGUAAAAAAAAACAAGGUUAAUAACAGUAUCAUUCGUAUUAAGUGAUACGUGAAAAUUUUCAAAAUGUGUAACGGUGAAAUGACUGAAACGGUACGUGGAUAUGAAAAGGUCGAAAACCACUGUACUAGACCUAGACUACUAAAGUACUCUAGCUUCUACUAAUGGCUACUAUUUACUGAUAUCCAGACCUUGAAACGCUUAUUUUAAAUAUAAACAAGUAUAACACUGAAUCAAUUCAUUUUUUUUUUAUUAACUUGUUAGUUCAAGUUCAUUUUACUAGCACUAGGUAGUCUUAGUGAUUUGUAUUGUAAAUAUGAAGUACCUAUGUAGUAUGUACUAUUAUAAUUACUACAGCCACAGGCUUUAGUAAUUAGACCACCAAUGUAAUUAUGUUUGUUAUCCUAUUCAUACAAUUUUAUUUUGUUGAUAAAUAAAUAAUUAUAAUAACAAUAAAUAAAUAAUCUCAAGAGAACGCUGCAGUAGCAUUUAUUAUACUCUGUACUUAUUUAAUUUAUAAUGAUACAAUUAUAUUACCUACCAGUAUUAAAUAUUGGUUAGGUUGAUCAGGUUGGUUACAAAAUUGAUAAAAUCAUUUUUC